GACGUAGGGGGCGAGCGUUGUCCGGAAUUACUGGGCGUAAAGCGCGUGUAGGCGGUCAGAUAAGUCUGGUGUGAAAUGCCCGGGCUCAACCCGGGCGCUGCGCUGGAAACUGUCUGACUGGAGUGCAGUAGGGAAGACUGGAAUUCCCGGUGUAGCGGUGAAAUGCGUAGAUAUCGGGAAGAACACCUGUGGCGAAGGCGGGUCUUUGGGCUGCAACUGACGCUGAGACGCGAAAGCGUGGGGAGCAAACAGG
rnacentral:rRNA from 1 species